GCUGGGUGUGGUGGCGCACGCCUGUAGUCCCAGCACUUUGGGAGGCCGGUGCGGGUGGAUCACCUGAGGUCGGGAGUUCGAGACCAGCCUGACCAACAUGGUGAAACCCCGUCUCUC
rfam:Homo sapiens chromosome 14, GRCh38 reference primary assembly.